AUACGUAGGGGACGAGCGUUGUCCGGAAUUACUGGGCGUAAAGGGCGCGCAGGCUGUGCUGCAAGUCAGCUGUGAAAUAUCUGGGCUUAACCUGGAUAUGCGGUUGAGACUGCAGUGCUGGAGUGCUGUAGAGGCAAGUGGAACUUCCCAGUGUAGCGGUAGAAAUGCGUAGAUAGUUGGGAAGAACACCGGUGGCGAAGGCGACUUGCGUGGGCAGCAACUGACGCUGAGGCGAC
rnacentral:rRNA from 1 species